rnacentral:misc_RNA from 1 species
GCCCUCUGUACAACAGUUGCCUGUUGAUUUUUUUGCACAAAAUAAAAAUGACGGCAUACUGAUGAGCUAAUAACUUGAAAAGAAGCUCUCAGCUAGCUGGUUCAUAUCUGCAGACACAGUCAUAGAUGUUUCCUUUAAUCAAAUUUUCUGCCAAUCUCUGAUUCUUCACCAUUGCCAGCUUCAAUGCAUCACAUUUAAACCGGGCAUUGAAGUUGGUAUGGAGAGCUCUGCCCAUCCCUUCCAAGAUAAUCAAAUCAGCAUCCUUUGCAGCAGCAGCAAGCUCAGAGCUGACCUGUCUCAAAUCUAUGCAUGGACUCCCACACCCAUUCUCAACAACCACAACAAGGGAACUGAGGAAGAAUUCUCUUUUGAACCAUCUAAAGUGUUGAUCAUUGCAUCCACAAGCAGGCCUCCUGCUUCAGCAGCUCUGCGAAGAAUGUCACAAUGCUUGGCAGCUUCAGCGACAAUAUCAGGGAGCUCCAUAGCAGUCACAUCAUUUAGUGCUGGGAGGGAGUUUGCUACCAAAACAACCUCAGUUCCACGUCGAAUGAGUUCUCGUGCUAAGGGAAGCAUCCCUAGAACAAUGUCAGCACCUGAGUUGUCCACAAAGAGUAAAGCUCUCUUGUGUGGACACGGGUUACCCAGCAUUCUCUCUUUGAAAACAUCAAAAUCAUCCACCCGCCAAGGUCUUUGCAUUUUGUUGCGACUCAUUCUGUAAAUUUCAAUAAUUGUUCCUUUGUGAUAGAGAUCCACACAAGCACGAGAUCCCCAGUCAAAUAUGUUUGCAGCUAGAACCCCCUCAACUAAGGUCAGCAAUCUCGUCUCCUCUGUCAUACUAUCAAGCUCCAUCAACAAGUCAGGCAAUACAGCAAGUGAUGCCUCAUUUUCCCUCUGUUUUAUGCUUCUAUAGGCAUCAACAAAGUGGAACUCUCUCAAGCACUCUUCUCUUAGUUCCAAAAGAUUGGCCAAACCUAACUUCCCAUAUGCAGCAGGCUCCUCCAUCAACCUUGCCAAGUGAGCAGAAAAAGCACGAGCAAAAGCAUCACCCCUUCUUUUGGCAUCAUC